ACUCCUACGGGAGGCAGCAGUGGGGAAUAUUGGACAAUGGGCGCAAGCCUGAUCCAGCCAUGCCGCGUGAGUGAUGAAGGCCCUAGGGUUGUAAAGCUCUUUCACCGGUGAAGAUAAUGACGGUAACCGGAGAAGAAGCCCCGGCUAACUUCGUGCCAGCAGCCGCGGUAAUACGAAGGGGGCUAGCGUUGUUCGGAUUUACUGGGCGUAAAGCGCACGUAGGCGGACUAUUAAGUCAGGGGUGAAAUCCCGGGGCUCAACCCCGGAACUGCCUUUGAUACUGGUAGUCUUGAGUUCGAGAGAGGUGAGUGGAAUUCCGAGUGUAGAGGUGAAAUUCGUAGAUAUUCGGAGGAACACCAGUGGCGAAGGCGGCUCACUGGCUCGAUACUGACGCUGAGGUGCGAAAGCGUGGGGAGCAAACAGGAUUAGAAACCCGAGUAGUCCC
rnacentral:rRNA from 1 species